CAGAUGAAUUGACAGAAAAGUAACACCUCUUCCAGAAAGCUAGGUGGAAAGACUAUGUAGGUGCUGGCUCCAAGAGAAAUAAGAUGCAAACCAGGCAAUGAAAAUUAAAAUUACAAUGACGCUCAGAUUCAACCUCAAGCAAAUACUGAAGAUUCAGAUCAAACUGGAGCUCAGUGGUAAAGGGAACAAAUUUAAAUGGUGUCCCUAGCUGAUAACACAAAGCAGGAGAGCACAGCAUCACACCUGCAAUCUUCCCAUAUGUGACUAGGAUCUAGUUAUGAGGAAACCACAGAUAAACCGAAAUGAGGAACACUCUACAAAAUCACUGGCCUGUGAUUUUUGAAAGCACCAAGACCAUGAAAGUCAAGGAAAGACUGAGGAGCUGUUCCAGAUUA